rnacentral:tRNA from 1 species
GGGAGAGUAUGUGUCCUGGUGGAUGCCGUGGCCUUCAAAGCCAUUGUGGGGUCGAAAGGCUCCUGGUGGGUUCAAUUCCCUCACUCUCCC